ACAGGUCUUCAGUCAAGGGUAUACGACUAGCUGUGCUCCCCUGAUAGAAUCUCAACACAAGCUCUCAAGGUGCACUUUAGGAAUAUAGGGUAGUCAAGC
rnacentral:sRNA from 14 species